UGGGGAAUUGUUCGCAAUGGGCGCAAGCCUGACGACGCAACGCCGCGUGGAGGAUGAAGGUCUUCGGAUCGUAAACUUCUGUUGCCCGGGACGAAUAGCUUAGACCUAAUACGUCUGAGUAUGACGGUACCGGGUGAGGAAGCCCCGGCUAACUCUGUGCCAGCAGCCGCGGUAAUACAGAGGGGGCAAGCGUUGUUCGGAAUUACUGGGCGUAAAGGGCGCGUAGGCGGCCUGCUAAGUCGAACGUGAAAUCCCCGGGCUCAACCCGGGAACUGCGUCCGAUACUGGCAGGCUUGAAUUCGGGAGAGGGAUGCGGAAUUCCAGGUGUAGCGGUGAAAUGCGUAGAUAUCUGGAAGAACACCUGUGGCGAAGGCGGCUAGCUGGGCCAGUUCUGACGCUCAUCCGCGAAAGCGUGGGGAGCAAACAGGAUUAGAUACCCAUGUAGUCCCUGAGCGGGCUGGCAAGGCGCAU
rnacentral:rRNA from 1 species